rnacentral:misc_RNA from 1 species
UUUGUUUUUUAAUUAAAAACUAGAAUGAAAGGUUAUACACUCAAAUUUCUUUAUUAAUUUUUAAUAAAUAAUUUAUAUUAAAUAUAAAAAUAUAUUUAUGAAAAAAAAAGACGACAAGACCCUAUUAAAUUUUACUUAUAGUUUAGCUGGGGAAGCUUUUCAAUUAAAAUUUUUUAAAAUCUUAAAAUAAAUAUCUAAUUUAAAUUAAAAUUUAAAUAAAUUACUAUAGGGAUAACAGCAUUAUAUUUUUUAAAAGUUCAUAUUAAAAAAAAUGAUUGUGACCUCGAUGUUGAAUUAUAUUUUCUAUAUUUAAUGCAAUAAUUAUAAAAGUAGAUCUGUUCGAUCUUUAAAAUAUUACAUGAUUUGAGUUCAAACCGGUGUAAACCAGGUUGGUUUCUAUCUUUUUAUAUAUUUUUCCAGUACGAAAGGACAAAAAAAUUUUUAUUUUAAUAAAUUAGCAAAUAUAAUGCAUUAGAUUUAGAAUCUAAAUAUAUUUAAAUU